UACGUAGGGUGCGAGCGUUGUCCGGAAUUAUUGGGCGUAAAGAGCUCGUAGGCGGUCUGUCGCGUCGAUCGUGAAAACUUGGGGCUUAACCCUGAGCUUGCGGUCGAUACGGGCAGGCUAGAAUUCGGUAGGGGAGACUGGAAUUCCUGGUGUAGCGGUGAAAUGCGCAGAUAUCAGGAGGAACACCGGUGGCGAAGGCGGGUCUCUGGGCCGAUACUGACGCUGAGGAGCGAAAGCGUGGGGAGCGAACAGG
rnacentral:rRNA from 1 species